UUGUAAAAAAAAAAAAUCCACGGAACAUUCGUGACCAGCACCACCACCAUCACCACCAAAUCAUAACCAAAUUAUAGAACAUUGUGAGGCCUGCAUCUUUCUCACUUCCCUUGUUAUUCAUUGAAUAAAUUACACCAUGAAAUCUUGCAGGGAAGCUUCUUCCUCUCCUUCUGUUUCUUCCCCUUCCAAGCUUUGACUUUUACGUCAUUUUCUAUUUCUCUUCUCUUGGAAUUCUCAGCUGAAAUGACUUAAAUGUCUUGGUUUCUUGGGCUUGUCUGCUUGUUUCAAUCUCAUCGAUUUUGUUUUAGGGCGAUUAAUACUAUGAUUUUUCACAGUGAAACCCACGUUUUGUGUUGACAUGGAUGUAUCUGACUAAGCUGGAAGUUUAAACAAGUUUAAUGCAUUUUUGAAUAAGGUAUGACAGAAAUUGCACAAAGCAGAUCUACAACUGCUCAAUCUCGCUCGAUCUUGUAGCUGUGGCAUGGACUUGGUCUUUGCUGUGAGAUAUGUAUAGCGAGAAGCAGAAGUCCAAAACCAAGACGUUUCGUGGGUGGUUCACAAGAAAGAAAAAGAGGGAAGAAGCACAUGACCAGUUGAAUGAAAUUUCAGAUGAGAGUGAAGAUGAAGUUGAUAAUCUGGAUGACGUUUUUGAUCAGUCAUCGGAGAUUGAUCCAUGCACUUCAACCAACGAGCUAAGAAUCUUUGUUGGCACCUGGAAUGUUGCCGGAAGGUCUCCAGUAGGAAGUCUAGCAGUAGAUUUGGACGAGUGGUUAAAUCUCAAGGAUGCAGCUGAUAUGUAUGUCCUCGGAUUUCAAGAGAUUGUACCAUUAAAAACCAGAAACGUUAUAGGAGCUGAGGACCCAACUGAAGCAGCAAACUGGAACCUGCUUAUAGGGAAAACACUGAAUGAUAAAUAUGGGUCCCCAUGGUCAACCCCCAUGAAAAAUCCAAUCUCAAGCUACCACUACCACUAUGAUAAGAUCUCUGAUUCAGAAAGGAGAACAAGUUUUAGUGGGCAUUCUGGGAUUCAGCUGUUGAGUUCACAAGAUGAGAACUUACAUGAUGGCAAUAAGUACAAGCUAAUGGCAAGCAAGAAGAUGGUUGGAGUGUUCAUAAGUAUAUGGAUGAAGAAGAAAUUGCUUAGAAAGUACUGUGUUUCAAAUGUGAAGUUUAGCUCAGUGGCUUGUGGCAUCAUGGGUUAUUUGGGGAACAAAGGUUCAGUUUCAGUUAGCAUGUCCAUAGAAGGAACAAGUUUUUGCUUCAUUGCUGCCCACCUAGCUUCUGGGGAGAAAAAAGGUGAUGAAGGCAGAAGAAAUCACCAAGUUUCAGAGAUUUUUAGGCGAACUUCUUUCCCCCGAUCCUCUGAAGACGAUGAUAAUCCUCAUCCUCUCACCAUCUUAGGACAUGAGUAAGUGGUCCUCUCAGCAAUUGACUUACACAAUAUAAGGAAAAAAAAAAGCUCGAAUAGCAACAUUUUAUUCAAUAUUCUAAGUUAUCUGGUUUGGUGAUUUUACCCAAGUUUUUAAGUCACAGAAAUAGAGAUUUGAUUGUUUAAACAAAAAUUCUUGCCACCACUGUAACUACUAAUGGUUGCAUAUAAUCCAUAAGGCUAUAGAAGAAAAAAUUUUAUAAUUCAGCAAAAUGUUAGUAUGAUCAACAAGAUUUGCAAGCAAAUCUAACAAUCUCACUUCUACAUUUCAAAAUAAUUCACAUGAUUACAUGUUUCCAUGAAAAAAAUUAUGUUAUCUAAUCAGGCUAAAUUAGUUACAAUCCAUAAGAUAUCUCUUUCCAAAAUAAAUGCUGCAAGGGAAGGAUGGGAAGAUAUCUAAAUUAUUUGAAGAGAUGAGCAAUAAGAGCUUAACAUGUAUGCAUUGAAUUCAAAUUCUAUCUUUAAUGAAAUAAGUGUCAUAAAUUGUGCAGUAGGAUAUUCUGGUUUGGAGAUCUCAACUAUAGAUUGUAUUUGGAAGACAACUUAGCCAGAUAUUUGAUAAAUAAGCAAGACUGGAAAGCAUUGCAAGAAUUUGAUCAGCUUCGAAGAGAACUAGAAGAUGGUGGAGCAUUUCAGGGUUGGAGAGAGGGAAACAUAGAAUUUGCACCCACAUACAAGUACGCUUCAUCAAAUUGCAAUAGGUAUUCAGGUGGCCUGCCUAGCAAAUCAGGAGAAAAGCAAAGAACUCCUGCAUGGUGUGACAGAAUUCUAUGGUAUGGAAAAGGAGUCAAGCAACUUUCGUACUUUCGCAGCGAAAGCAAGUUCUCUGACCAUCGUCCUGUUUCCGCUUUAUUUUCUAUACCGGUGGAAGUCAUGAAGCCUACUAAUCCAAGAGUCGUGCCAAUGCAGACCAUUCUUCCCACCAUAACACCUCCCAGAAAAAGGGAGGCAGGCAACAGUAAUGAAGAGACCAAAUCAACCUUGCUGUCACUAAUGGGAAAAGAUUUAAUAGAAGCAUCACCCACUAAUAUGCAAAAAGUAUAGCUAAAACAGAGGAUAGGAUGUGCAGCUAGGGCUGGCUUUCUAGAGAUAUGCCAUUGUCUCGUGAUCUCCUUCCCUUCAUUUUUUUCCACCCAUUCCUUUGGGUUUUAAAGUGGAAUUUAUUAAGGAAAGCAAAGUUAAUUAAAUGAAUGUAUUCAGCAUUCAUUAAUAACUAAAUUAUUUAUGACCUUCAAUCAAGUGUGAUUAAAGUUGGAUAUCCAGCAUAAAAUUAUAGCAAUGGUUUCACCAUUUGAUUGGUUCAAACAUUGUUGAACAUACUGAUGAAGCCAACAUGAAAGUUAAAUGCCAAAAAUCAGUUGAAGAAUCUUUUCCUCAUUAUUGAAGAUUCUUUUCCACAUUAUUGUUAGUCCACAGUCUUUGAUAGAAUAGAAUACCAGGCCUCAUUAUCAUCACUCUCCAGUGUAAUAGAGAGUCCAAAUUUCAGGUAAGCGCCAUAAAUGCUAUGUCCCUCGAGUACAAUUUCAUAGUACACAAGUUUUUUAACCAACAUUUAAAACAAAGCAAUAGCAAACCUACUUACAAGAGAUCAAUUCGCCUCAUCAGCCUGAAGAAUUCCACUCAGAGACUCCACAUUAUCUGUAUGACAACUGGGACACACACAUCUGUUCUGCAACUGCUCGCCAAGAGAAGCACAAGUCUGUUCCAAUUCAGAAGUCUGCUUGUUUCGAGUUAAAAGAAAUUUGUGGCAGUACUCACGUGUCACAACCCAAGUUACUUGGAAAAGCAAUUCACAAAAAUUAAUCAUAUAAGCCAAAAUAACAGUCCAAUUGCGUACUUGCUUUCUUAACCAGACCUCAACUAGGUGCAAAAUAACUAGCUCAGGCCAGCCCUUCCCAAUAUAAAAGUUGUGAAGGAUAUCUUGUCAAAUCCAGCAGUGCUUUUGUUUCUUUCAUUAUCACCUCCAUCAAAGAAACCUUCCUCUGAAGAUCAACAUAUUCCUGCUGGACCUGCUUUUGGAUACUCUGUUCUGCCAGGUAUUCUUGCUCCUCUUUAGCUGUUUUAGAGAUUAAAUAGGCAAGCGUGUCCUCUAAAAUUCUUGAAUCAGUUUCUGUGAAUACCUCCAUUACAACUUUCUGGUCUGCUUCUGAAAUGACUGCUGCAAUUCCAUUGUUAUUUGCUUUAUGGAAUUUGGAUGCUACUCUGUCCUGGAAGUUCCUAAAUCGACAUGCAAGUUAACAUAUUAGUUGUUUCCACUACGAAGUACAGAAUGUACAUGGCUAAAUCUAAAAUAGCAUGCUUAUGGCAAUAGUGUGACAUCAAUAAGGCAAAAAGAAUAUACAUACAGAUCUGCUCUAAGAACUUUCUUGUGACAAGAUCAGCAAAGCUGUUAUGGAAAAUAUAAUAUCAAGUUGCUUAUGUCAUUGAGUAUCGAGUUUGCCAACAUUUAUGUAGUUUAGUAUGAUAUUUUUGGUCCUUUGUUCUAGGCAAAGAUAUCAGUAUACCAAGGGGGAAAGAAAACUCUAUAUGUGUUGCCCUUUCCCCCACUAUCCAUAUGGCACCUCCUCUUAUGGAUAGGUGGGGGUGGGGGGUUGCAGAUCCCUUAAUCUGGCAUAGAGAAACAAUUCUACCACCUACAUUGUCUUAUAAAAGAUAUUUGACUAUGUUGUGUUCACACUUUCUUGAUGAUGAAAGCAACAUCAGCAAACCACACAACAGACGUGCUCUUACUUUUUCCUUAAUGCUUUACUAGCUUGAUUAA
rnacentral:misc_RNA from 1 species